CGCGCAGGCGGCGAGUUUUGUCAGGCGUGAAAGCCCCGGGCUCAACCUGGGAACUGCGCUUGAGACGGGCUUGCUAGAGAUCGGGAGAGGAGAGUGGAAUUCCCAGUGUAGAGGUGAAAUUCGUAGAUAUUGGGAAGAACACCAGUGGCGAAGGCGGCUCUCUGGACCGACACUGACGCUGAGGCGCGAAAGCGUGGGGGCAAACA
rnacentral:rRNA from 1 species